rnacentral:rRNA from 1 species
CCUACGGGAGGCAGCAGUGAGGAAUAUUGGUCAAUGGGCGCGAGCCUGAACCAGCCAUGUAGCGUGAAGGAUGACGGCCCUACGGGUUGUAAACUUCUUUUAUAAAGGAGUAAAGUGAGGCACGUGUGCCUAUCUGUAUGUACUUUAUGAAUAAGGAUCGGCUAACUCCGUGCCAGCAGCCGCGGUAAUACGGAGGAUCCGAGCGUUAUCCGGAUUUAUUGGGUUUAAAGGGAGCGUAGAUGGGUUGUUAAGUCAGUUGUGAAAGGUUGCGGCUUAACCGUAAAAUUGCAAUUGAUACUGGCAGUCUUGAGUACAGUUGAGGUAGGCGGAAUUCGUGGUGUAGCGGUGAAAUGCUUAGAGAUCACGAAGAACUCCGAUUGCGAAGGCAGCUUACUAAUCUGCCACUGACAUUGAUGCUCGAAAGUGUGGGUAUCAAACAGGAUUAGAUACCCCUGUAGUC